UGAGACAACUGCCCAGAUUUGAUAAUUUUUACAUCUUCAAGAGGCUUAUCACGGUUGUCAGUCUCAGCUUUGGAAAUUUUCUUGACAAUAUCGUAACCAGAAAGGACUGAUAAAAUUAGUAUUAGCAAACAAAAAAAAGGAAAAAGAAAACAAAUAGUCACUUUUAUAAAACAUAUACAACUACAAUAUGAAUUCUUACCUUCACCAAAAACAACAUGGUGUCCAUCUAACCAAGGUGUUUUAACUGUAGUAAUGAAAAACUGAGAUCCAUUGGAAUCGGGUCCAGCGUUAGCCAUGCUAAGCAAACCGGGACGUUGGUGAGAAAGCUUAAAGUUUUCAUCAGGAAAACGGCUGCCAUAAAUUGAUUUUCCACCAGUACCAUCACCCUUCGUAAUAUCACCACCUUGAAUCAUGAAAUUGGGAAUAACGCGAUGGAAAAUAGAUCCUUCAUAUCCAAAUCCCUUUUCUCCGGUGGCUAAUGCGCGGAAAUUUUCGGCUGUUUUGGGAACAGUUUUACCAAACAAUCCAAUGGUAACUCUUCCAAGGAACUCAUCACCUUGUUGCAAGUCGAAAUACACUGUGUCUGUAACUUUGGGGCCACGGUUGGCA